UGCCCAGCAAGCCAGGGACUGAGUCUCUGGACCAGGGCUCAAACUUGCAGCCCCUGCAGAGGAAGUACGGAGUCUUAACCACUGGAC